GCCAUGGCUCAGUGGUAGAACACAUUCCUUUAAUGCAAAAGGUCCCAGGUUCAAUACCCAGUAUCUCCA